UUACACAGCUGAGCUCAAAAACAAACAUCAGAAAAAAACAGGUGGCACAAAGCACUCAGCUACUGCUAAAGUAUCAAUAACAGUGCAAAAAGCCUGGGGCGCCUGGGUGGCUCAGUCAGUUAAGUGCCUACCUUCUGCUCAAGUCAUGAUCCUGGAGCCCCGGGAUUGAGCUUUGCAUCAAGCUCCCUGCUGAGUGGGAAAUCUGCUUCUCCCUCUCCCUCUGCCUGCCACUCUUCCUGCUUGUGGUCUUUGUCUAAUAAAUAAAUAAAAUCUAAACAAAAACAAACAAAGAAAAAACCAAAAAACAAAAAGUGCAAAGUCUGGCAGAGUCCAACAGGAAAAACUCCUUCAAAUAGCUCAGGGACAUCGGGGCUAGGACAGUCCGUACUGGCAAAGAAGCUCUAGCUGCUGUGCUGGGAGAGGCUGGGAGCUGAAAGGGGCCACCAGUACCAAAACCAGGACCUGCCCGGAGCAACUUGGCUCCUGAAGCCAAACUAGAACAACUCUACCCCUGGGCCCAGGAAGCUUGCUUCCAAACCAGACCAAGCCAUGGAUGGGAAAAGAAUAACCCAGGAGUAAUUGGAAUGACUGAAUUAACAUAUUACAAAGUUUCCUCUUACCCAUGAAUUCAGAACUGCCCCCACAUUUAUUAUUGGGGUACAGGUACAAAACUAUGCAAUCUUUUAUCUGAUUACCAACUAGAACUGUACUAUUAAGAACUAUAGUCAACUGCAUUGUGUCCGUGCAGGCUGCUUCUUCAUCUGAAAAAAUAUUUGCUGGGAUACACCAAACCACACUGCAGCUGGUUCUUUCCACCAUUAUGACUCUGCCAGCCUGAGGUCAAGGGCAUCCCACAUUUCAGAAACUGUAUGAGGCCCAGGCUUGGGACACAGAACAACUAAGACAUUUCAGAAAGUAUUGCAUGUCUUUGAACCUCAGUUUCUUUGUCUGAAAAUGGGAAUGAUCAUAACUAUUUUUGAAGGUUAUCAUAAGAAUCAAAUGAGAUAUGUAGAAUAGUACCUAUUAAUAAACAAAUGAGCAUUAUUAUUAUUGUUACGUGUUUAGAUAUAAAUCCCUCCUCGAUCAGAAGUAAAGAAUUGCCCCAAUGAUUUAUUUCUAUUUUUGGUUUAAAUAUCUUGCUAGAAUUCUUCUUUACAGCCAAAUAAUAUUCCGCCGUAUGUUAUUUAUCCAUUCAUCAGAUGAUAGACAUUUGGGUUGUUUCUACGUUUUGACUAUUAUGAAUAAUACUACUAUGGACAUUUGUGCACAAGUUUUGUGUGGACGAGUGUUUUUCAAUUUUCCUCGGUAUACACAUAUAUAAAAGUGGGAUGCUGGAUCAUAUGGUAAUUCUAUGUCUAACUUUUUGAGGAACUGCCAGACUGUUUUCCAAAACAGAUGCACCAUUUUACAUUCCCACCAGCAGUAUAUGAAGGUUCUGAUUUCUCCGUAUCAGUAGUAUGUUUUUAAAGCAACCAAGGAGCCACUGAAAAUUGGGACAUUCAGCAUCCCCACCUCUUUCUUGGAGGGCAUCACAAGUUGGUAAAAAUCUGCUUCCCUUUCAUUUGUAAAAAUAGAGAUAGAACGAUAGGGGUUUGAUCAGUCUUUCUCCUAAUUUGUGGAGAUUUCUGGCAUGGCAAACACACCUUCCCCUCUGAUUUCAUCUUUUUAUCCUAGAAAUGAAAAUGGCAGAGACAGAAACUUCUCAUUAAAGUACCUAUUUGGUCCAACAUGAUAGGGAACAUACAAAACAUGGUAAAUAAUGGUAAGAAAUGUGGAUUCAAACCUAAGACUUUAGAACAUGUGAAAAGGCUCCACAUACAAUACAACCAUAUCUUUCACAAGCCUAUUUGAGGAUCAAAGGAACUCCCUUGGUUCCAAAGAGAGAGAUUCUCCUUGUCCUUCUUCCAGGCCUAAGAAAGCAAAGACCAGAGUGAUGAAGAAAUAAGCUGAGGAGCCAAGGUAGCUGUAACCAAAGGCCGUCCCAAAUUACCUAGAGUUCAGUGAUUUUUCAAACGGUUUUAAUAGAAAGAAGAACGAAAUAAAUAGCAUGCUCAAACUUCUCAUCAGAAGCCCAAACCAUCCUGCUCUGCAGCAAACUGCAUUCUUGGAGAGCAUCAUCAACCACGGCUGAAAUGGACUUUGGAUAUGAUGCAUGAGGCUGGCCAUAUUUUGAAUCUUAUGUCCACAUACGUUGAAUAGAAAGGUUCAAUUGGAGAGUUCUUUCAAGUGUAAAAUGUAAUUUUGUUGGUCAUAGCCCAAAAAAUCAUCAUGGUACAGAAUGACUAAUAGGAUGCUACAUCCUUUUUUUCCACAAUCAACUACAAGAGGGAAAAAAAAAAAAACCCAGUGGAAUAUUCUUUUAUGCGUUGCUUCCCCUAUGCAAUUCAAAGCACAAAGCAGUAGAGUAAUAAAAUUAAAUAU
rnacentral:lncRNA from 1 species